GAAGAAAGAGGGAGGCGUGCUUAACACAUGCAAGUCGAACGGAAAGGCCCUGCUUUUGUGGGGUGCUCGAGUGGCGAACGGGUGAGUAACACGUGAGUAACCUGCCCUUGACUUUGGGAUAACUUCAGGAAACUGGGGCUAAUACCGGAUAGGAGCUCCUGCUGCAUGGUGGGGGUUGGAAAGUUUCGGCGGUUGGGGAUGGACUCGCGGCUUAUCAGCUUGUUGGUGGGGUAGUGGCUUACCAAGGCUUUGACGGGUAGCCGGCCUGAGAGGGUGACCGGCCACAUUGGGACUGAGAUACGGCACAGACUCCUACGGGAGGCAGCAGUGGGGAAUAUUGCACAAUGGGCGGAAGCCUGAUGCAGCAACGCCGCGUGCGGGAUGACGGCCUUCGGGUUGUAAACCGCUUUCGCCUGUGACGAAGCGUGAGUGACGGUAAUGGGUAAAGAAGCACCGGCUAACUACGUG
rnacentral:rRNA from 1 species